GGCCUCGUGGCCCAAUGGCAAGGCGUCUGACUACGAUUGGAAGGGGAGAGAGAGAACUCAGCUAAUGAAGUUCAAAUAUCCUAUUCUAGAGUGAUCAGGAGAUUCUGGGUUCGACCCCCAGCGAGGUCA